GCUUCCGACAAGUGUCCGCUUCAGUCAACCCCACUCUUUUAUUCUUCCUAUUCGGUUCAACUUCAUUCAAGUUAUCACACAUGCGGGACCACACUUUUUUCCAUAUGGACAUCAUGUCGCCUCCCUCCAGUUUCUUCUUC
ensembl:ncRNA F49E10.14 ncRNA